GAUCAUGGCUCAGGAUGAACGCUAGCUACAGGCUUAACACAUGCAAGUCGAGGGGCAGCGGGAAGUCAGCUUGCUGACUUUGCCGGCGACCGGCGCACGGGUGAGUAACACGUAUCCAACCUUCCCGUUACUCUGGAAUAGCCUUUCGAAAGAAAGAUUAAUACCGGAUAGUAUCGAGAGAUUGCAUGAUUACCCGAUUAAAGAUUCAUCGGUAACGGAGUGGGAUGCGUUCCAUUAGG
rnacentral:rRNA from 1 species